AUUGAACGCUGGCGGCAGGCCUAACACAUGCAAGUCGAGCGGAUGAAGGGAGCUUGCUCCUGGAUUCAGCGGCGGACGGGUGAGUAAUGCCUAGGAAUCUGCCUGGUAGUGGGGGAUAACGUCCGGAAACGGGCGCUAAUACCGCAUACGUCCUGAGGGAGAAAGUGGGGGAUCUUCGGACCUCACGCUAUCAGAUGAGCCUAGGUCGGAUUAGCUAGUUGGUGGGGUAAAGGCCUACCAAGGCGACGAUCCGUAACUGGUCUGAGAGGAUGAUCAGUCACACUGGAGCUGAGACACGGUCCAGACUCCUACGGGAGGCAGCAGUGGGGAAUAUUGGACAAUGGGCGAAAGCCUGAUCCAGCCAUGCCGCGUGUGUGAAGAAGGUCUUCGGAUUGUAAAGCACUUUAAGUUGGGAGGAAGGGCAGUAAGUUAAUACCUUGCUGUUUUGACGUUACCAACAGAAUAAGCACCGGCUAACUCCGUG
rnacentral:rRNA from 1 species